rnacentral:tRNA from 1 species
AGGUAGAAUGGCCGAGUACUAGGCGGCAGGUUGUAAACCUGCUUACACAGGUAGCCCUGUUUCUUC